AGCGAACGCUGGCGGCAGGCCUAACACAUGCAAGUCGAACGGAUCCUUCGGGAUUAGUGGCGGACGGGUGAGUAACACGUGGGAACGUGCCCUUUGGUUCGGAACAACUCAGGGAAACUUGAGCUAAUACCGGAUGUGCCCUUCGGGGGAAAGAUUUAUCGCCAUUGGAGCGGCCCGCGUCUGAUUAGCUAGUCGGUGAGGUAACGGCCCACCAAGGCGACGAUCAGUAGCUGGUCUGAGAGGAUGAUCAGCCACACUGGGACUGAGACACGGCCCAGACUCCUACGGGAGGCAGCAGUGGGGAAUCUUGCGCAAUGGGCGAAAGCCUGACGCAGCCAUGCCGCGUGAAUGAUGAAGGUCUUAGGAUUGUAAAAUUCUUUCAGCGGGGACGAUAAUGACGGUACCCGCAGAAGAAGCUCCGGCUAACUUCGUG
rnacentral:rRNA from 1 species